AGACCCGAAACCCGGUGAUCUAGCCAUGGGCAGGUUGAAGGUUGGGUAACACUAACUGGAGGACCGAACCGACUAAUGUUGAAAAAUUAGCGGAUGACCUGUGGCUGGGGGUGAAAGGCCAAUCAAACCGGGAGAUAGCUGGUUCUCCCCGAAAGCUAUUUAGGUAGCGCCUCGUGAAUUCAUCUCCGGGGGUAGAGCACUGUUUCGGCUAGGGGGCCAUCCCGGCUUACCAACCCGAUGCAAACUGCGAAUACCGGAGAAUGUUAUCACGGGAGACACACGGCGGGUGCUAACGUCCGUCGUGAAGAGGGAAACAACCCAGACCGCCAGCUAAGGUCCCAAAGUCAUGGUUAAGUGGGAAACGAUGUGGGAAGGCCCAGACAGCCAGGAUGUUGGCUUAGAAGCAGCCAUCAUUUAAAGAAAGCGUAAUAGCUCACUGGUCGAGUCGGCCUGCGCGGAAGAUGUAACGGGGCUAAACCAUGCACCGAAGCUGCGGCAGCGAACGUAUCACCCAAGACAACUUUACGGAGUUGACGAUUGACGGAGCGAAGCGACGUCAAAGCGUUCAUUAAAGUCGAGUUGGCUUAGGGAUACGUUCGUUGGGUAGGGGAGCGUUCUGUAAGCCUGUGAAGGUGUGUCGUGAGGCAUGCUGGAGGUAUCAGAAGUGCGAAUGCUGACAUAAGUAACGAUAAAGCGGGUGAAAAGCCCGCUCGCCGGAAGACCAAGGGUUCCUGUCCAACGUUAAUCGGGGCAGGGUGAGUCGACCCCUAAGGCGAGGCCGAAAGGCGUAGUCGAUGGGAAACGGGUUAAUAUUCCCGUACUUGGUGUUACUGCGAAGGGGGGACGGAGAAGGCUAUGUUGGCCGGGCGACGGUUGUCCCGGUUUAAGCGUGUAGGUGUGUGUUCCAGGUAAAUCCGGUUCACUUUAACACUGAGGCGUGACGACGAGGCACUACGGUGCUGAAGCAACAAAUGCCCUGCUUCCAGGAAAAGCCUCUAAGCAUCAGGUAACACGAAAUCGUACCCCAAACCGACACAGGUGGUCAGGUAGAGAAUACCAAGGCGCUUGAGAGAACUCGGGUGAAGGAACUAGGCAAAAUGGUGCCGUAACUUCGGGAGAAGGCACGCUGACACGUAGGUGAAGUGAUUUACUCAUGGAGCUGAAGUCAGUCGAAGAUACCAGCUGGCUGCAACUGUUUAUUAAAAACACAGCACUGUGCAAACACGAGAGUGGACGUAUACGGUGUGACGCCUGCCCGGUGCCGGAAGGUUAAUUGAUGGGGUCAGCG
rnacentral:rRNA from 1 species